rnacentral:rRNA from 1 species
CACGGGGGGCGCAAGCGUUGUUCGGAAUCACUGGGCGUAAAGGGCGUGUAGGCGGUCAAGUAAGUGGAAUGUGAAAGCCCCCGGCUCACCCGGGGAUCUGCAUCCCAAACUGCUUGGCUUGAGUACGGGAGAGGAUAGGGGAAUUCCUGGUGUAGCGGUGAAAUGCGUAGAUAUCAGGAGGAACACCGGUGGCGAAGGCGCCUAUCUGGCCCGAUACUGACGCUGAGGCGCGAAAGCUAGGGGAGCAAACGGG